rnacentral:tRNA from 1 species
GCCUUCGUGGUGUAGUGGUUCUUCACGCUGGACCAGUAUUCCAGAGGUCCAUGGUUCGAUUGCCGGCGAAGGCG